rnacentral:rRNA from 1 species
UACGUAGGGGGCAAGCGUUGUCCGGAUUUAUUGGGCGUAAAGAGCGUGUAGGCGGCCAGGUAGGUCCGCUGUGAAAACUCGAGGCUCAACCUCGAGAUGUCGGCGGAAACCAUCUGGCUAGAGUCCGGAAGAGGAAAGUGGAAUUCCCGGUGUAGCGGUGAAAUGCGCAGAUAUCAGGAAGAACACCAACGGCGAAGGCAGCUCGCUGGGACGGUACUGACGCUGAGACGCGAAAGCGUGGGGAGCGAACAGG